UACAGAGGUCCCGAGCGUUGUUCGGAUUCAUUGGGCGUAAAGGGUGCGUAGGUGGCGCUGUACGUGGGGUGUGAAAUCCCGGGGCUUAACCCCGGGACUGCAUUCCAUACUGCGGUGCUUGAGGACUGGAGAGGAGACUGGAAUUUACGGUGUAGCAGUGAAAUGCGUAGAGAUCGUAAGGAAGACCAGUGGCGAAGGCGGGUCUCUGGACAGUUCCUGACACUGAGGCACGAAGGCCAGGGGAGCAAACGGG
rnacentral:rRNA from 1 species